UACGGAGGAUGCGAGCGUUAUCCGGAUUUAUUGGGUUUAAAGGGUGCGUAGGCGGUCCGUUAAGUCAGCGGUAAAAUCGCGGGGCUCAACCCCGCUCCGCCGUUGAAACUGUGUCCCUUGAGUGCGCGGAAGGCAGGCGGAAUUCGUGGUGUAGCGGUGAAAUGCUUAGAUAUCACGAAGAACCCCGAUUGCGAAGGCAGCAUACCGGCGCCCAACUGACGCUGAAGCACGAAAGCGUGGGUAUCGAACAGG
rnacentral:rRNA from 1 species